AUUGAACGCUGGCGGCAUGCCUUACACAUGCAAGUCGAACGGCAGCACGGGUGCUUGCACCUGGUGGCGAGUGGCGAACGGGUGAGUAACACAUCGGAACAUGUCCUGUAGUGGGGGAUAGCCCGGCGAAAGCCGGAUUAAUACCGCAUACGAUCUACGGAUGAAAGAGGGGGACCUUCGGGCCUCGCGCUAUAGGGUUGGCCGCUGGCUGAUUAGCUAGUUGUGGGGGUAAAGGCCUACCAAGGCGACGAUCAGUAUCUGGUCUGAGAGGACGACCAGCCACACUGGGACUGAGACACGGCCCAGACUCCUACGGGAGGCAGCAGUGGGGAAUGUUGGACAAUGGGCGAAAGCCUGAUCCAGCAAUGCCGCGUGCGUGAAGAAGGCCUUCGGGUUGUAAAGCACUUUUGUCCGGAAAGAAAUCCUUGGCCCUAAUACGGUCGGGGGAUGACGGUACCGGAAGAAUAAGCACCGGCUAACUACGUG
rnacentral:rRNA from 1 species